GAACCGAACCGGUGGCAUUCUGUAUAAAAAAACCCCUUAUAUACCCUUAAACCCUAUCUCAAAACACUACUCGGCCUCCCUCCUCAUUUCUCUCUCUUGACCUCCUCUCCUCUCUCUCCUUCUCUCUCCUCUCCCUAUCUAGAUCUCCUGUCCUGCUCCCUCAUCUCACCACUACCGGCACCAAGUCUCCGUCCUCGUCUCCCCUAUCUCUCUUUCUUUUUCUCUUUCGUUCUUCCCGAUUCUCAUCCCCUUCUCUUUCGUUUCCACGAACACCACCGAAGAUGACCACGAAGACCACCACCAAGUCCAACACCCAAGACCACCAUGAAGACCACGAACAACACCGAGUUUAAUCAAAGUGAAGAAUCAAGGUGUUGAUUUUGGAAUUUUAAUUUCGAUGUUGUAAUUUUUUUUCUUCGAUGUUGUAAUUUUUUUUUUUUUGAUGUUGUAAUUUAUUUAUUUUUUUGUAUUGUAAAAUAACAAUUUAAUGAUACAUAAUUCUGAUUGUAUUUCAUAUUCAA